GCGUCCGUAGCUCAGCUGGAUAGAGUACCUGGCUACGAACCAGGCGGUCAGAGGUUCGAAUCCUCUCCGGACGCGCCA
rnacentral:tRNA from 1 species